rnacentral:rRNA from 1 species
UACGGAGGGUGCAAGCGUUAAUCGGAAUUACUGGGCGUAAAGCGCGCGUAGGCGGCUGUUUAAGUCGGAUGUGAAAGCCCUGGGCUCAACCUGGGAACUGCAUUCGAUACUGGGCAGCUAGAGUAUAGGAGAGGGCUGUGGAAUUCCAUGUGUAGCGGUGAAAUGCGUAGAUAUGUGGAGGAACAUCAGUGGCGAAGGCG